UCACCCCUCGAGCCCUUCCGGCUUGGUCUUGGACGGUUUGGUUUUGGGCGACAAAACCCCUCCCAAAGUUAAUGACGGCGGCCUGUGGAACCCCCGGUACACUGAGCUUCUUAACUGAGCACGUAUCGGUUUGUCAAAAGGGUGGACAGGACCCCGGUCUUUUUCCCUUGACGGGAAAAUCUCUUUCCAAAAGG
rnacentral:misc_RNA from 1 species